AUGUCAGGAUAAGUAUGUCCCAUGCAAUAUUUGGGACAUGCUUGUACUAAAA
rnacentral:pre_miRNA from 1 species